rnacentral:rRNA from 1 species
GACGAACGCUGGCGGCGUGCUUAACACAUGCAAGUCGAGCGGAGCGGCGAACGGGUGAGUAACGCGUGAGUAACUGCCCCCCUCCCUGGGAUAACAGUUGGAAACGGGUGCUAAUACCGGAUAGUGGGCGAUGACUCGCGUACUAUCAGCUUGUUGGUGGGGUAGUGGCCUACCAAGGCGACGACGGGAAGCCGGCCUGAGAGGGCGACCGGCCACAUUGGGCGGGGAGACGGCCCGGGCUCCUACGGGAGGCAGCAGUGGGGAAUAUUGAGCAAUGGGCGCAAGGCUGACCCAGCAACGCCGCGUGAAGGAAGACGGUCUUCGGAUGGAAAGCUUCUUUAGGAAGGGUCGCGGUACCUGUAGAAUAAGCCACGGCUAACUACGUGCCAGCAGCCGCGGUAAUAC